rnacentral:rRNA from 1 species
GAUGAACGCUAGCGGCAGGCCUAAUACAUGCAAGUCGAACGGUGUCUUCGGACAUAGUGGCGCACGGGUGCGUAACACGUAUGCAACCUACCUUACAUUGGGGGAUAGCCUUUCGAAAGGGAGAUUAAUACCGCAUAAGACAGUAGCUGGGCAUCCAGCAGCUGUUAAAGAUUUAUCGAUGUAAGCUGGGCAUGCGUCCAAUUAGCUAGUUGGUGAGGUAACGGCUCACCAAGGCAAUGAUUGGUAGGGGAACUGAGAGGUCAAUCCCCCACACUGGCACUGAGAUACGGGCCAGACUCCUACGGGAGGCAGCAGUAGGGAAUAUUGGGCAAUGGACGCAAGUCUGACCCAGCCAUGCCGCGUGCAGGAUGAAGGCGUUAUGCGUUGUAAACUGCUUUUAUACAGGAAGAAACGACUCUUGCGAGAGGCAUUGACGUUACUCGCAGAAGAAGCACCGGCUAACUCCGUGCCAGCCGCCGCCGUAAAAC